rnacentral:sRNA from 1 species
UUUUUUUUUCUAUUACUUUUUCCCCCCCCUAACUAACGGAUUAUUAUUGUUGUUGUUUUAAAUUUAGCUCUUAGGGCUUAGCUAUUUGGGUUUUCUUGCGGUGUCCGGCUCCCGUCUCCCUGGCUCCCCCGCCCGCCCUGCGGUCCCAGCGCCCCUCGCUCUCCUCCAGCCCGCGAGGAGUGCGGGCGCCGCGCCGCCUUUAAAGCGAGGCCAGGGAGCGAGGCGGUGACCGGCCGAGAUCCGGCCCUCGCCUCCUCCCUCGGUGGCGCUAGGGCCCCCGGCCUCUCUUCCUCAGUGCGGGCGGAGAAGCGAAAGCGGAUCGUCCUCGGCUGCCGCCGCCUUCUCCGGGACCCGCGCGCCCCUCCCCGCGCGCCCACCCACCCAGUCCGGCUGGACUGCGGCAGCCGCGCGGCUCACCCCGGCAGGAUGUUCGCAGCCGGGCUGGCUCCCUUCUACGCCUCCAACUUCAGCCUCUGGUCGGCCGCUUACUGCUCCUCGGCCGGCCCAGGCGGCUGCUCCUUCCCCUUGGACCCCGCCGCCGUCAAAAAGCCCUCCUUCUGCAUCGCAGACAUUCUGCACGCCGGCGUGGGGGAUCUGGGGGCGGCCCCGGAGGGCCUGGCAGGGGCCUCGGCCGCCGCCCUCACCGCGCACUUGGGCUCGGUUCACCCGCACGCCUCUUUCCAAGCGGCGGCCAGAUCCCCGCUUCGACCCACCCCAGUGGUGGCGCCCUCCGAAGUCCCGGCUGGCUUCCCGCAGCGGCUGUCUCCGCUCUCAGCCGCCUACCACCACCAUCACCCGCAACAACAACAGCAGCAGCAACAGCCGCAGCAGCAACAGCCGCCGCAGCAACAGCCUCCGCCUCCGCCCCGGGCUGGCGCCCUGCAGCCCCCGGCCUCGGGGACGCGAGUGGUUCCGAACCCCCACUACAGUGGCUCUGCCCCGGCCCCCUCCAGCAAAGACCUCAAAUUUGGAAUUGACCGCAUUUUAUCUGCAGAAUUUGACCCAAAAGUCAAAGAAGGCAACACGCUGAGAGGUAGGUCUUGGGCGGGAGGCUGCAGGCCUCUGACCACUGACCCACUCCCCGGACUCCGGGCUGGCUUGGGGUGCCUUUGAGUGUUUUUACAAUUAAGGACAAAUCGGUAAAACGGGAGAGAAGAAAACGAAUUGUAAGAAAACUACAAAACAUUAGGUCUAAAACUCACCUGUUCUAUGUAAAACAAACAAAAAAUGACUCCAGGGAUUCUUUAAAAACACGUCUUAGAAUCAAUAUUUAUAAAAGUGGUUGGUGUAAUUAUCUGCUAACAUGACUUUGAUCUCUUUAAUAAUGUAUCUAGAGACAGAAUUAUAUUUUCUGACAGCUAAAGCAUUUUUGGGAAACACUUUCGCACUUAUCUGAUUUCUAGUAAAAAUUUCACCCAGGAAAUGUAAAUAAUAAACAAAACCGCCUAGAUGAGCGGGCAGAGUGGGGCCACCUUGGGGCGGAGGUUUUGCGUCUGUGGCGUUCUUGGAAGACACGUGAAAGUGAGGCCGUAAGCCGAUUUAUGUAAAGCCUUUGCUUACUAUAUACAUGCAUGUGGACGUGAGGGACACACAGGAACUUUUCGUGCGUCGCUCCUUGGCAACUGUUGGGAGAGAGAGGUUUCAGCGCCGAGACGGGUUCUCUCUUGACUUCGCUCAAUAAAAGUGAAUCCAGGGCAAGGGGAAGGGGAGGAACAAAUCAGCGGAGAGUGUGAGUGUGCCCGAGAUGUAACCUGCUAUCCUUUUCCCUUGUCCCCAGAUCUCACUUCCCUGCUAACCGGUGGGCGGCCCGCCGGGGUGCACCUCUCAGGCCUGCAGCCCUCGGCCGGCCAGUUCUUCGCAUCUCUAGAUCCCAUUAACGAGGCUUCUGCCAUCCUGAGUCCCUUAAACUCGAACCCAAGAAAUUCAGUUCAGCAUCAGUUCCAAGACACGUUUCCAGGUACGGAAAAACUCCAGAGUACUGCCUAACGGGCGAGCCGACUAACAGUCAGAAAUCUCAGGACUGACGCCUCCAGGGCUGCCACGGUGUCGCAAUCUCACAAUUGGGGCGGGAGGCUACGGAGUCAGGAGAGAGAAACCGAAAGAUUUCUCAGCGAGCUAGCGCUCGCUUCGGAUGGUUCCCCUUGAAAAGGGGUAGAGGCGCCUGGAGAUCCCAGAAAAUGUGUGCGUGGACGGUGGGGUGGGGGGCUUUCUCGAAGUCUUUUCGCCCCAGAGGGCUUGAAAAAUGCAGCAUCAAUGUUGCUUAUUAGCAUAUACACAUUUUGGGAUGACCUCAAACACUUGUGCUUGGCGAGUUUAUGUCUGGGUGCCUGGACACAUGCGGGAAUAAACACACACACACACACACACACACACACACACACACACACACACACGAGAUAAUUCAAUUCAGGGCUGUCAUCAUUCAGGCCCAAGGGACAUUUUUGUCUACUCUUCGUAGGCCUGAUGGCCACGCAUGAGGUUUAUGUUUUUCUCUUGGAAUUAAAGGACAAGCCGCCAGGCUUCUCCACUCCACGCUCGCUUUAGGUCUUCCGACUGUCGUGUAAAAUUCCUCCUUAGAGGGGCCAUUCGGUGUAUGCGCGAAGGGCUUUCUGAAUGAGGGUGGAAUCGACAGUUAACACGAAACAGUUUCAAGCCUUACGGGGACCCCCAGGCUGGCAGGUCAAGGACUGGACACUGAACGGCCCUCUUGUCUUUCUUCCCUCUGGCUCCCGUUCUGCGGCAGGUCCCUAUGCUGUGCUCACGAAGGACACCAUGCCGCAGACGUACAAAAGGAAGCGUUCAUGGUCGCGCGCUGUGUUCUCCAACCUGCAGAGGAAAGGCCUGGAGAAAAGGUUUGAGAUUCAGAAGUACGUGACCAAGCCGGACCGAAAGCAGCUGGCGGCGAUGCUGGGCCUCACGGACGCACAGGUAAGGCAGUUCUGGCUCCAGCGCACAGCGCCCUCGGGCGGGCAGCAGCGCACGGCCUAGUCUGGUAGGUCCCCUCCAUCCCGGCCGACUGGCCUCCUGCGGUGCAAACGCAAGAUCUUGACUUUCAAGAGGCUUUGUGGACUACGCAACUUGAGGCAGGAGAAGAGGAGGGUGGAGAUGGGGUGAGGGAGAAGGACCGAGAGAAGAGCUCAUCCCCAAGAUGUGUGUCAACAAGCACUGCAUGUUUAUUUUGGCCAACAGGCUAAAGAACCACGGAGAAAGCAAAAGGGCCGCGGAAAUAACACUGAUAUACUCAACUGUAGUGCAAUUCGCUGUAGGAGGCAGUUUAUUUCAGAAAAGAUAAAAACCCAAAGGCAAGAGAUUGUUGUUGGGGUUUUUUCCCUCUCACCCUCCCUCCUUCCUCCUCCUCCUGCUGCUUCUGCUGGAUUGUGAAAUCCCCAGUUGUGAGGAAGUGAAAAUAUAAUUUCAAACGGAAUUAGUUAGCUCCAGGAGGGCAGGGAGUCCGCUUGGAGCGGCCACACAUUACAAGGCUUAGGCUCUGAAGAAAAUCUGAAGGAAGGGGAGAGGUGAGGGAAAGAAAGAAAGAAAAAUGAUUCUCUUAGAAUACCCAAGAGCAUUUCAGCAGGUUCUGCCUAUUUGAAUUUUUUCAAGACAAUAGGAAAUGUAUUGUGGCUGAAUUAAUUUUAUUCUUUUUCUUAAAUUUAAGAACUGGGCUUCCCCACCCCCCACCACCCGAGCUUUGACUGUGGAAGAGUCACUCUUGUGCACCCCAUAGCACUGGCUCUGGCUCUGGGGUGCUGAUUUUCCCCAGCAGGUCAGAAGCCAGAGGCAGGCUUCUUUUUCUUAGCUCCUUGGUCCCCAAAUUGCUGUCUCUGUUUCUUUCUGACCUCCAUUACACAACUCUUCUCCCCAGUACACACACACACACACACACACACACACACACACGAGGAGCCCAGCCGUUUUCCACCAGCUGUGGAUGUUAUUUUUAAAAGGGAAGCUGGAACUUGUGUGAAUGCGUUGGGUCCCCCAGGGGAUCGUAUAUAUCUGUAUAGAUUCUCUGCCCCAUCUCUAUCCCCUUCCUUAAUUUUGCACACAUUUAAUUCCAUUGUUUUCUGAGCCCCCAGGAGAAUUUGUUUAUCCUUAACAGGGGCAAGGUCCUUAUCAGCUCUUGCGUACAAACACACCAAAGAAAUGCUGUCUUACUGAAAGCCCAACAAUGCCCCCACCCUACUGUGAUUAACAGUUUAAAACCCCUUUCCCUUUCUGCUUCCCAUGUUUCCUUUUUUGAAAAAAGUAUUGCUUUUGUAGGGACUUGCUUUGGGUAGUGGCAGUAGAGGAGAGGGCCAACUUAGAGCAGGAAUUCUUAACACUGGCACACCAAACCCUUGACAUUGUAAGCAAUAUCUUGGGCAUAUGUGUAUUUUUCUGGGCUAGGAGUCCAUAACUUUAAUCAGAUUCUCAUGGGGGUCCUGACAGAAAAAAAAUACAUGGAUUUAGAGUAGAGAGAGAGUAUGUUGGGGGUCGGGUGCAGGAAUCUGCCUUUCCAACAGUCACUCAGGUCAUUUUAGUCCUGGGGCCUGAGGGUUGCAUUUUGAAAACGGUCUUAGUGGGUUCCCUAGGCCAGGAUUCCUGGCUUCUUGUGUUCCCCUGGGCUGCCCCUUGGCUCCUGCGCCUACCACAGUGCCUGGUCCUUGGUAGAGUCGCCAAGUAAGCGUUGCUUUUUCACUCAGGGAGGUGGCUUGAGGGUGCACGCGAGUCGGAUAGGAGCAAACCUGGGUCUCAUCUCGGUGUCUCUUCUUGUCUCCCCGUGUGGCGCGGCGCAGGUGAAGGUGUGGUUCCAGAACCGGCGGAUGAAGUGGCGGCACUCCAAGGAGGCCCAGGCCCAAAAGGACAAGGACAAGGAGGCUGGCGAGAAGCCAUCAGGUGGAGCCCCGGCUGCGGAUGGCGAGCAGGACGAGAGGAGCCCCAGCCGCUCUGAAGGCGAGGCUGAGAGCGAGAGCAGCGACUCCGAGUCCCUGGACAUGGCCCCCAGCGACACGGAGCGGACUGAGGGGAGUGAGCGUUCUCUGCACCAAACAACAGUUAUUAAGGCCCCUGUCACUGGCGCUCUCAUUACCGCCAGCAGUGCUGGGAGUGGUGGGAGCAGCGGCGGCGGCGGCAAUAGUUUCAGCUUCAGCAGCGCCAGCAGUCUUAGUAGCAGCAGCACCAGUGCGGGUUGCGCCAGCAGCCUUGGCGGCGGCGGCGCCUUGGAGCUUCUCCCUGCAACACAGCCCACAGCCAGCAGCGCUCCCAAAAGCCCCGAGCCAGCCCAAGGCGCGCUUGGCUGCUUAUAGACUGUACUAGGGCGGAGGGGAUCCGGGCCUUGCGUGCAGCCUCCAAACCAUGGGCUGGGUUUUGUGCUUACUGUAUGUUGGCGACUUGAUAGGGCAGGAGACGCAGCGUGGAGCCUACCUCCCGACAUUCACGCUUCGCCCCACGCUGCUCCGACUGGCUGCAGCGGACACUGCCCAAAGCAGAGGGGAGUCUCAGUGUCCUGCUAGCCAGCCGAACACUUCUCUCCGGGAGCAGGCUGGUUCGACUGUGAGGUGUUUGACUAAACUGUUUCUCUGACUCGCCCCAGAGGUCGUGGCUCAAAGGCACUUAGGACGCCUUAAAUUUGUAAAUAAAAUGUUUACUACGGUUUGU